AUUGAACGCUGGCGGCAGGCCUAACACAUGCAAGUCGAGCGAGCGGCGGACGGGUGAGUAAUGUCUGGGGAACUGCCCGAUAGAGGGGGAUAACUACUGGAAACGGUAGCUAAUACCGCAUACCAUCGGAUGUACCCAGAUGGGAUUAGCUAGUAGGUGAGGUAAUGGCUCACCUAGGCGACGAUCCCUAGCUGGUCUGAGAGGAUGAGCAGCCACACUGGGACUGAGACACGGCCCAGACUCCUACGGGAGGCAGCAGUGGGGAAUAUUGCACAAUGGGCGCAAGCCUGAUGCAGCCAUGCCGCGUGUGUGAAGAAGGCCUUAGGGUUGUAAAGUACUUUCAGUGGGGAGGCGUUACCGACAGAAGAAGCACCGGCUAACUCCGUGCCAGCAGCCGCGGUAAUAC
rnacentral:rRNA from 1 species